rnacentral:lncRNA from 1 species
AUGGGUUUCCAGAGAGCUGGGGCUGAAGAUUCUCUAUAGGUUUUGCACUGGGCAGGGGGAAAAAUUGAGCCUGAGUUUACUAAAAUCUUAGGAUAAUCUCCUUCUUAAGUAGGUGGUAGAACUCAGCUGCAAACUGCUAGGACUGAGGGAAGUGAGAACAGAAAUUCCCUGUUAGGAACUUUGUAAUGCUAACCUCAGACAAGAUUUGAAAAAAAGGUGGAUUUGCUCCAAGCAGACUGUUGCUUCCUGCCCAGAACCUUUGCAGUUCCAUUGCCCCUAAACUGCCGCAACCUUCCCUAGCCACCACCCUAUGCUGCUGUUACACCUUCCCUUUCCCCUACAAAUCCCAAGCUAGUCCUGGAUACAGUCCCAGUGGGCUGCAAGUGACAGGUUGAGAGAGGGUAACCAGUGACAAGAUAGGUGAAGAGUAGCUCCCACCUCCAGCAGGCCACCAUUCUUUCCUGAGGCCUGCUGGGAACAAUCCAAAUGCCCCACCCAGGUGUGCCCAGCCCCGUCCUGUGCAGUUCUGAGCUGGCUGCUGUGCUGCCUCCUGGCGUCAUGGAACAGAGGGGCUGGGAGAGCUGGAAGGGGACCAUGUUUCCUCCCAAGCUUUGGCAAUACCGCACCCUAAUACUGAAGUGGCUGCCCUUCCUUCCUACCUGGCUUCUUGCCACUGCUCCUGCCACAUUCUCUAUGAGGAGUGACCUUCCAACACUUCAAAUCAAGCCACUCUUCAGGAUGUAUCACCUGUGUCACCUCAUCCAUGCAGCCCUUCUUGACUCCCCUGCUAGAUGA